UGGGGAAUUUUGCGCAAUGGGGGAAACCCUGACGCAGCAACGCCGCGUGGGUGAUGAAGGCCUUCGGGUCGUAAAGCCCUGUCGGGAGGGAAGAAAUGAUUGAGAGCUAAUACCUCUUGGUCUUGACGGUACCUCCGAAGGAAGCACCGGCUAACUCCGUGCCAGCAGCCGCGGUAAUACGGAGGGUGCAAGCGUUGUUCGGAAUUAUUGGGCGUAAAGCGCGUGUAGGCGGUCUUUUAAGUCUGAUGUGAAAGCCCCGGGCUCAACCUGGGAAGUGCAUUGGAAACUGGGAGACUUGAGUACGGGAGAGGAGAGUGGAAUUCCUAGUGUAGGAGUGAAAUCCGUAGAUAUUAGGAGGAACACCGGUGGCGAAGGCGGCUCUCUGGACCGAUACUGACGCUGAGACGCGAAAGCGUGGGUAGCAAACAGGAUUAGAUACCCUGGUAGUCCACGCCGUAAACGAUGAGUACUAGGUGUUGCGGGUAUUGACCCCUGCAGUGCCGUAGCUAACGCAUUAAGUACUCCGCCUGGGAAGUACGGUCGCAAGACUA
rnacentral:rRNA from 1 species